UACGGGGGGGGCAAGCGUUGUUCGGAAUUACUGGGCGUAAAGGGCUCGUAGGUGGCCAACUAAGUCAUACGUGAAAUCCCUCGGCUUAACCGGGGAACGGCGUCUGAUACUGGAUGGCUUGAGUUUGGGAGAGGGAUGCGGAAUUCCAGGUGUAGCGGUGAAAUGCGUAGAUAUCUGGAGGAACACCGGUGGCGAAGGCGGCAUCCUGGACCAAUACUGACACUGAAGAACGAAAGCCAGGGGAGCAAACGGG
rnacentral:rRNA from 1 species